rnacentral:tRNA from 1 species
GCUGGUAUAGUGUAACGGAUAGCACAAGGGUCUUCUAAGCCCUAAAGACUAGGUUCGAAUCCUAGUAUCAGCACCA